rnacentral:lncRNA from 10 species
UCAUCACUCAAUCUCCAGGACCAAGUUAAUGUUCUGUAUAUAGUAAUGUCGACAGCAACAUCUCCCCCAGGUGUAACAACUAAACGUGUCUCCAGACAUUGGCAAAUAUCCUUGGGCCAUGGAGAAAACAUCACCUUCAAUUGAAAACCACUGGGCCACUCUAAUGCCUUCAAGGGACAGAUCCCAGGUCUAAACCCUAGCCAAAACCCCUUGUGUUAGAGGAGCUCACCCUUUACUGCUGAUGAAAUCUCCAUGAUGAAGUGCUUUCCUGGUGACACCCAGAGAUCGUUUGCUAUGUGAAUGCUUUUCUUGCUCAAAUUUCAACAA